UACGUAGAGUGCAAGCGUUGUCCGGGUAAGUUAUUGGGCGUAAAGGGUACGUAGGCGGAUAGUAAAGUCAAGCGUGAAAGGUGUCGGCUUAAACCGACAGACUGCGUUUGAAACUGAUUAUCUUUGAGUGUAACAGAGGAGAGUGGAAUUCCUAGUGUAGUGGUGAAAUACGUAGAUAUUAGGAAGAACACCAGUGGCGAAGGCGACUCUCUGGGUUAACACUGACGCUGAGGUACGAAAGCUGGGGGAGCGAACGGGAUUAGAUACCCGCGUAGU
rnacentral:rRNA from 1 species